AAGGAAGGAAGGAAAGGAAAGGAAGGAGAGAGGAGGGAAGGAAGGAAAGGAGGAAGGAAGGAGGGAAGGAAAGAAGGAAGGAAGGAAAGAAGGAGGGAGAGAGGCAGGAAAGGAGAAAAAGAGGAAAAGAGACAGGCACAGACAUCCAGAGAGAAAAUCAGAACUAAAUUGGAAAUGAGAGACAAAUUGGGGGAAGGAAAGAGAAGCGGGGAAGCAGUGAGGGAGUGUGGGUACACACACAAGGUACGGGCAGCUGAAUGCAGGCCCGACCUGCUCAGCUCAGGAGACCUUCUUUUGUGAGCCUGGCACAGGAACGAUCUGUACACAGAGGAAAAUGUGCUGACUCUUGCCCAAGGCCUGUGGGAGGACAGGACAGAUCAAUUAACCUGGGUGGGGCUCUCCUGUGCCAAGCCUGGCACUCUCAGUUCUCAGUGCCCAGCCAGGCCAGACCAAGGGCUCUCACGUGACCACUAGCCAUUAAAGGGCCGUCAGCUGCAGGGAAGAAUCAGCCUUGUACUCAGAAAAACCCUCUCCCCGUGCCGAUGUCACCUCCACCGGCCCAGCUAUCCCCAAUCUGCCAGGCCCAGCCCCGCACCCAGGUCGACCAUGCCCCUUGGCCUGGGGAAACCGGCCACUGGGAAUCUGAACUGACUUUGAGGCUCCUCUGGGGGCCAGUAGGGCCCGGUACAUCCAACGGAUGGAAUGAUCCUGGAGCAUAUUUGUGAGUGGAACAAGAGGCUUCUGGAGCAGAAUGUUCCCACAGAUCUUAGCUGUGGGGGGGGAGGGGGGGCGUGACUGAUUCCAUUUUAAGGACAAGCAAGUUUUCCAGGAAGGGCACAUUCGAGCACAGCGUCAAAGGUUGGGUAGGAUUGCUGGGCAGGCAGAGAAAGUGGAGGGAUCCUAGGUCAUGAGAAGCACAGGUAAGAGUGGAAAGGUGGUAUAUCUGUGCUUCAGGCUCAUCGGGAAGAUCAAUGGGAGCUGACACGCAGGCCUGGAGGAAAUAAGGCUGGGAUGCAAGCGGGCCCAGAUAAGGACAGACAAACAUAAAGGCACAGAGACAGUUAGUCAGGAGGGAGCUUGGAGGUGAUACAAAUCUUUUUCUCAUUGUAUUUCUUUUUAAUGUUUAUUUAUUUUUGAGACAGACAGAGACAGGAUGCCAGUGGGUUAGGGGCAGAGGGAGAGAGGGAGACCCAGAAUCCAAAGCAGACUCCAGGCCCCGAGCUGUCAGUACAGAGCCCCGCGCGGGGCUCGAACUCACGAGUUGUGAGAUCGUGACCUGAGCCAAAGUCAGACGCUCAACUGGCUGAGCCAGCCAGGAGCCCCUCACUGUAUUUUUAUUUUUAGCUUUGUAUGUGUAUGUGUAUGAAGUAGAGGAAGAGGAUGUGACAGCAACUCAAAUCUUUUUGACCUACGUACGCUGUUCCUCUCCUCUUAAGAUACAGACUGCUUUACCUCGUGUGGUGGCCGGUCUUCUGUCUUCUUCUUCUUCGGAGCCUUCCCUCCUAUCUCAAGUCCUCAUCCACCCCUCCAGAUGGCCCCUGGCAUAGUCCACUGGCCCUGCUGGGCCUCCUCCAGGCACUGGCUACCAACGUGGAAGAUGCCCAGGUGACUUGUGUCUUCAGCAACUAACAACUUCAGGACCAAGAGGGCCCUGUGAGCGGUAGCUGGUUCCUCAGAGCGGGAGCUCCGGUCACAAUCAGGCCAAGAGCGGACAGCCCUCCCAAUGCGUCUCGCCAAAGCCCAAUCACGCCUGGUCCAGGGUUUGACGGUCCUCUCCAGCUGUGGGAAAGCUCACGCCUAGAGCAGCAUCCUCCCAAAGCACCCAGAGUGCCAGGUCAACAGGUCGAUGGCUGUGCAGGAUGCCUAAUUGCCUCAGAAAUGAUCUCGAAUUUCGGAUCAGAGACCUCUAGGGUCCAAGUUGGAAGGGAUGAUACAACUCUGCUUGUAAACGCUUUGGUUUACGGACCACUUCUUCAUCCUUUGAGGGUGGUGCAGAAUAGCAGCUAAGGGCAUUCCCUGUUGAGCCCCGAGUGUGUGUUCCUCCUCUGCUCUCCGCUAGCUGCAUGGCUGGGGGCACCCAGUGGGUGCUGGGCAAAUGCUAGCGGUACAUUCGACGUGCUACAUGACGUGCUGCAAUCUCCCAUUGCAGAUGUGGAAUCUAAGGUUCGGACAAGUGCACCCCCACACAGCAUUCCCACACCCCUUUGCCCUACUCUUUCUAUUAAGUCGCUCCUCCUUGUGUCUCUGCUACCUAAAUGACAUCGGUCCCUCGAGUCUGCUCAAAUGCUAGCUGUUCUAUAAAUUCUGUCUCCAGAACGGAGUUCAUCUCAGCUUCCUCCGAGCUGCAUAGCACUUUGUUCAAAACUCUAUCACACUGUGGAGCUCACUGGGCCACACUAGGCAAGAAAAAGGACUGAGGCGAGGACGUGACACACUGCAGACUGCAGUAAAGACCAGAGAGAGACGGACACAACGAAGGCACGUUUCGCCCCUGCAGCAACGCGUUCCCUCCUUCUCCUGCCCCACAGUCGGACGCACCGCGGGGCCUCUCAAAGCCCUCACCACGUUCUGGUUCCAAUCAAAGCUAACUCCACACACACUCUCUCUUCCCAGGCGGACUACCUUAGGGGGAGGAAACAGCUCAGUGUCACCUCCGCACCCGCCAUGGCACAUGGCCGAGGGUUGCAAGUGCUGAAGCAUGCCUGUUCCACUGAUCUGAGAAGAGCUGGCUGAUAGUGGUGAUGGUGCUGAAUGGCGGCAGAGAUGACAGUGAUAACAGGGAGGUUACCUGAACCGAAACCCAGCCAUCACGAAGGGUGAUGUGCUCACGAUGUUUCGCUACGACCGAGUGAACAACAAGGGAUCUACGAAUCAGACCUAGAGACGUAGCCCACUCGCUGGCCAACUGGAAAGCAAUGGAAAAUGGAAAAGGCAUAUGGGCGGCGCCUAUCUUAUCAGCUUGAGCCCAUCCAUAGAUUAAUGUGGCGUAGCGGUGGCAUGUGGAAAUCAUUGAAAAACCCUGUUGUUACUGUUCAUUGAGGAAGAUGUAGAAAAGAUCCAAAGGUACAGGGAAGAGAAGCAGUCACAGUACUAUGAAAUUUCAUGACAGUUCUCUCGCACCUGUCUGAUUUGACACAGCUGAGAUCAGGCUGAUCCUGUGUGUCUCACAGUAUGUUUUAUUUAUUCUUUUUGAAUAAAUAACACACGCAGAAAGUACAAAGCUCAAAAGUCACAAAGAGCCGGGAGUGAAAGGCUCUCUCCUACUCCUGCCUUCUGCCCACCGUUUUCUCCCAGGUCCCUCAUAGAUCCUUCCCGAGGAGUCCUCUGCCUACCUCUGAACAGUUGUUUUGGGUGGGUUAAUAGUCAGUCCUCAAUCCUUCGAGGUCCUCAGAAACCAAAAAUUGUCUGUAAGUACGAAGUAUGUCCCUAAUGUAGCGUGUCUGUGCUGAUAAAUGAUAAAAUGUUACCGCCUCUAUGUCAGUUACACAACCGGAAGCAGAUAGUGCCACUCUUCCCAAAGACUAUUCUUACUUAGCUGACAAAUGUGGUUGGAGGUACUCAACCGAGAUACAAUCCUUCAACAGGCCCCUGUCCCAAAGAUUUCCUGAGAUGUUGCCAGGAGCCCAUAGUGGCCUAAAAAACGGAGAACUUGAAAUCAGAGUCUGUGUGUGUUGGGUUGAACGCCAGGCCUGCGUCCCGAAAGAACCCAUCUGAGAAAGUUACAGAAGGCAUCUCCGAUUCACAACACGCCCCCCGCCAACCCCCCACUGAAUAACACGUCGUCUGGCAACAGGAGGCGUUUGAUUACAUUUGGAUGGAACGCCUGCAUCAACUCCAGUUGUCCCCGAAUUGGAACUGCUGGGCCUCACGUGCUGCAGCCAACAGUUUGCCUUCACCCACUCCCCUCUCCGAAAUGAACCUUUCUCUGGGAAAACAAGAAACCUACGUGCCAUCCUGGGUGAGAGACGAACAAUGGCUGCGUCCCAGCAUCGCAUCCCAAGCGUGACAGGCAAGAGCACACUGAGGGGUUUCCAACAACGAGCCACGCUUCAAGCAUCUCUGGAGAUGCCCUCUGAACCAGAGGACCCAAAUGUUCUCCCCGGAGCCCUGCGGUCUCUGUGUUUAAUUCAGUGCGUGGGCCUUAAGUUCUCACUGCGUGAGGUCUAAGGCACCCAGCUACUGUCCCCUUUAGCGAGCCUCCAUAACCUCCCUCCCCAUGCUCUGACUUUGCUUAAUCGCUGCAGCAGGCAGAGUAAUGGCUCCCCAAAGACACCAUCACCCUAAUACCCAGACCCUGUGACUAUGCUAUAUUACAUGGCAAGGGGCGGGGGGGGGGGUGGGGAGGGGUGGCUAAAGUCGCAGAUGGAAUACAUCUUGCUGAUCAGCAGACCUUAAAAAAUAGACUCUCCACAGUAGUCUCAAAAAUAGACUAUCCACAAUACGGUGGUCACCAUAUUAUCGCAAAGGUCUCCAAAUGGGGAGGAGGGAGGCAGAAGUGUCAGACCCAGAAGAGUGACAUCAGGAGAAAGACUCGAUUUUCCAACUGCCACCUAUGAAGAUGCAGUAAGGGGCCAUGAACCAAGGAAUACAGGCAGAAAAAUCUGGAAAUGACAAGAAACUGGAUUCUUCCCUAGAACUUCCUUGGUGUUAACCCAGGGAGGUCUAUUCGGACUUCCGGCCUCUAGAACUGUAAUAUUUGUGUUGUUAUGUAGCAAUAGGAAACCAAGACAGUCACUGUGGACUUGCCAUGUGCCAGGCCUGGUACCAGAUGCCAAAGGCACAUUCCCACAGCAUGUGGUUUGUACCGUGUAUCCGUCAUCAGAGUCCUGCAGGGAAACUGAAGCCACUGUAAGACUCUAAACACAGAGAAUCCAAUGCAGAUCACUGGCUAUGUAGGUGAUAGCAGAAGUGAAAAAGUCAGUCCGGCUGUUAGCAAUAGCAGAGGUUGCUACUAGGCUGGGCUAGAGGGAUACAGAGAAGAAGCCAUAUUACCAGAGUGCAGAGGUCAAGGUUGCCAGGUGGAAGCUGGAUCACCGUGCACCUAUCCAGCAGGAGCUGGACGGGACAGAGCCCUGCUUUAGAUGCUCCUGAGGCAGAAAGGGAGAGAGAGAGAUACCUUGCUUUCUCCCUUUCUCCUGCCCUCUGAUUUCCUGUCCAGGCCUCCUGUUGGCUGCUUCCAGACAGAAGCUAGCUGGCGAAGGGCCUUGGGAUAUGCAGAGGUCAGCCCUCCUGUAGUACAGAGGGGAGCUGGGGAAGAGCAGUCCGUGAAUUAAUGGAUUUGAAGAUGAAUAAGCCCAAGACACCUCCUUUCUGCAUUGAUCAUCACGAAUCUCGAAGCAUAAUUAUCGUUUAAAAUGCAAAUUCUUUACCUGGCUCCUGAGACCCUCCAUAAGCUGGCCCUUCCCUAACUUCUCUGCUCUCACUCUCUACAGUUCCCCCCUUCACUCAUAGCAUCCCCACCGCACUGGCCUUUGCUCUGUUCUCCACAUGCCAGAAAGUCUCACCUUGGGACCUUGCGCUUGUGGGUUGUAGCCGCUGUUAGAGAACAAGAAAUACAUGUGUUUGGGGCUGAGUCAUUACAUUAACCUGCCUGAGCUGAAACAAUUUCCAGUGAUAAGAAUUCUCAAUGCCUGGUCCAUAAUUGGCCCUCGAUAGUUCUCAAGAGUUAUUAUUAAGUGACUGGAUUUUAGACACUCGGUAAUUUUGGGUUCAGUGUCUUUUUCUUAUCCUCACUCCUUCCCCACCAAGUUCCCUGAGGACAAGGAAGUCUUAUGUUAUCUCCAUACCUUUGAAGACUUCCAUUGGACCUAAACCUUAGUAGAUGCUCAAGAUGGCUAUGUGUUGCUUUGAGUUUCUAGGCAACGUGAGGCAGACAUGACUGGCACAGCGCAGUCUAGAAGUUUGACUCAUAGGAGGAGUUCAACAUUGCUGUAGCUACCAACGUUCAUGUAGCUCUUGAGCAUUUACAAAGGGCUCUCCACUUGGUCCUUAUACCAGCUCCAAAAAAAAAAAAAAAAAUUACACUUAUGAUUCCCGUUUUCCAGAAGAUGAAUCACUCUGAGCUCACAGGGGUUCGUUAUCUUACUCAAGAUCUUGCUUUUUCAAGAGAGGAGGCUGGAAUUAAUUCACUGUUCCAAAAUAGUUAUGGAGUCCUGACUCCAGGUGCUAGACCCUGGCUGCAUCCUCUGCACUUAGUUGGGGCUCAGGAGAUAUAUAUAGGAGCCCAAAGGUCCAAAGAAAGUGGAGUUAGCUCCCGGAAGAUAAAAGGGAGGCCCUCAGUUCCAGCCAAGGACCAAGGACCAAGAGAAUUGCCUGUGCCCUACAGCUUGCGUUUAGUGGGGUCCACUGCCACUGCUCUGUGUCUUCCUGCAAAUUUCUGGCUGGUUGGCCAGACGUGCCUGGAGGCAACGGCACCCCAGCAAGCCCUCAGCAGCUCUCCCACUUGCCCAGGCUAAUGGCCUUGGCGUUCUAAGUCUGCCCAUUUCCAUACAUCCUUUCCUCCUUCCCGUGCCAAGAUUUCAGUAGACGAUUUACAGCGGGUUCCAGGCCAUUUAGCUCCGUCGAAAAUUUGGGUGAAAGUUUCCUCCCAGCCAUCCCAGGCCACAGAUAACCCAUCGGGGUGUGACAGCCAGGGCGAAGGAGGGGGAAGAAGUUUCUGCAGCUGCUGUGUUCAUCCACUCCGAUCUGGCUGGGCUUUACAAAAUGUGUCGGGAAAGGUUUGCUCGGAAAAAUCUAGGACAAGAUGCCGAAGAGACAAAACUUGUCCAACCAGAGAUGGCAGAGGCCCCUGGAGGGUCGGUCGCCUGCGGGUUGGGUUAUGUGCCAGCGCGGGUGCAGGAAGGGGCGGGUGGGUGACCAGAAGGAGGAAGGCUAGGUGGCCGGGGCUUGGCUGGGACGUGGCCUUGCCCAGUCUGACGUCGCUCCUUCCGUGCUUGGGCGCCUCUCUCCGUAAAUAAAUCCAGGCUGCUCUUACGGCGCAGGAUACCCCACAUACCGCACAUCUGAGGUGGGGCGAAAUACAAAUAUGCCUUUUCAUAAUAGCUUUACACCUGGGGCAGCAGAGGACCGGUUUAUUACCUUGGUAAACAAAAGUUAGAAUUCAAGCAGAGUACAAACUUUGCCCCAGGCCCUUCUGACGGUGCACCUUGUGUUUGUGAACUCGAUAUAUAUACAAUGUGAAGCAAUGGGAGGCUGGGCUUUCUCUCCCUCUCUCUUUUUUCCCUCUCUCUCUUGUCUGAUUUCCAAGGUUUAAAAGUUCAUGUGUG